UUUUCGGACAAUGGAAGUAGAGGAAAGUGGCGGACGGGUGAGUAACGCGUGAGGAACCUGCCUUGAAGAGGGGGACAACAGUUGGAAACGACUGCUAAUACCGCAUAAUGCAUUUUGACCGCAUGAUCGAGAUGCCAAAGAUUUAUUGCUGAAAGAUGGGCUCGCGUCUGAUUAGAUAGUUGGUGAGGUAACGGCCCACCAAGUCGACGAUCAGUAGCCGGCCUGAGAGGGUGAACGGCCACAUUGGGACUGAGACACGGCCCAGACUCC
rnacentral:rRNA from 1 species